UGGUUACUAUUCACAAGCCAUUUUUUCUCGACUAAGAAGCCAAAUUUGUGGUCAGCUAAGCCAUUAGUUUUUUGGGUGGGAGUCUUCUUUUGGUUUCUAGAAUUCAUUUCCUACCUUGUUUUCUCUUCCCUAUUUGAAAAUCUUUUCUUCUUUCAUUUUCAUGACAGCCAUCCCGUCUUGGCUUGCAAUUUAUUUCCUGGCUUGUUUUUCUCUCCCCUCUUUGUAGAUCUGAAAAUCCAAUUGAAUUUGUUCAUUUACUAGCCCGAUCCCUCAUAUUCAUUGUUAUUAACGCCUGUGGAGCAUUUUUGAGUUUAGUGAAGGUUAAUUAAAGCUCGAUACAGGUGCAAUCGUAAAAGCAUUUUUUUGUUACCCUUUUAAAGGAUUGGAUUCUUGUACAUGGUUUUGUCUUAAACUUAAUUUGUAUGAAGUUUUUUUCUUGUAUGCUACUUCAGUUCAGGGAAAUGACUGGUUUUAAAUCGUGGGCUUGAUUAUUUAAAUGUCCUUUUUCUGAAUGUGAUGAUUUCUUCGUAGUUUUGGCUUAUGUUUUGAGAACAUAUUCAAGUAAAGCUGUUAUUUUUUCUUUGCAUAUUUGAAAAUUUUUAUAGUUGUUUCUCAUUGCUUCUUUUGGUUUGCAUUUAUUUUAUGAUUGGAAAGCAAUGCUCCUUAUUGCUUCUUUGGGUUUGCAUUUGGUUUUUGAUUGGAAAGCAAACAUGCAACUAAUUGAAGUGUAGAACAAGGAAAAAUGAGUGGAAAAUUCGGCUGAAUUAUUUCAUUAGAGACUACUG
rnacentral:lncRNA from 1 species